ACUGCAUGAGCGAUGGAUMUCUUGGUUCCUUGCAUCGUUGAAGGUCGCAGCGAAUUGCGAAAUGUUGGUCGUGUGAAUUGCAAGACACAUUGGCCCUUUUCGGGCUGCGGAACACCUUACUCACUGAACGUUUAUAUCGCUUAGCAGAUUAAUCUUCGUGUUCGCACGUAGACUGCAGCGCGCUCGGUUGAGAGUGCUUU
rnacentral:rRNA from 1 species